rnacentral:rRNA from 1 species
UACCAGACUCCUACGGGAGGCAGCAGUGGGGAAUAUUGGGCAAUGGGCGCAAGCCUGACCCAGCAACGCCGCGUGAAGGAAGAAGGCUCUCGGGUUGUAAACUUCUUUUAUCAGGGACGAAGCAAGUGACGGUACCUGAUGAAUAAGCCACGGCUAACUACGUGCCAGCAGCCGCGGUAAUACGUAGGUGGCAAGCGUUAUCCGGAUUUACUGGGUGUAAAGGGAGCGUAGACGGCCAGACAAGUCUGAAGUGAAAAUCCAGCGCUUAACGUUGGAAGUGCUUUGGAAACUGCCGGGCUAGAGUGCAGGAGGGGCAGGCGGAAUUCCUGGUGUAGCGGUGAAAUGCGUAGAUAUCAGGAGGAACACCGGCGGCGAAGGCGGCCUGCUGGACCGUGACUGACGUUGAGGCUCGAGAGCGUGGGGAGCAAACAGGAUUAGAUACCCGUGUAC